AGCGACCGGUCUCGGUUGGUGACCAGCGGAGGGAUAUUACCGAGUUAUUACUCCAAACCCUUUGUGAACCUUACCAUUUUGUUGCUCGGCGCACCGCGGGCCGCGGCUUCGGCCCGUCCCGCAGCGCGCCAGAGGACCCAACUCUUCAAUUUAUAGCGUACCUUCUGAUUUACAAAACAAACAAGUUAAAACUUUCAACAACGGAUCUCUUGGUUCUGGCAUCGAUGAAGAACGCAGCGAAAUGCGAUAAGUAAUGUGAAUUGCAGAAUUCAGUGAAUCAUCGAAUCUUUGAACGCACAUUGCGCCCGGCAGUAAUCUGCCGGGCAUGCCUGUCCGAGCGUCAUUUCACCCCUCGAGCCGCUUUUAGUGGAUCGGUGUUGGGGCACUACGGUAAAACGUAGGCCCCGAAAUGAAGUGGCGGUCCCGCCGCGGUGCCCCCAUGCGUAGUAACGUUUAGUCUCGCAUCGGGUCCCGGCGGAGGCCUGCCGUCAAGCCUAUUUAUUCUCAGAAUAGUUUGACCUCGGAUCAGGUAGGGUUACCCGCUGAACUUAAGCAUAUC
rnacentral:rRNA from 1 species